GAAAAGGAUAAACGUCAACAUUCAGUGACCUGAACUUUCAAGAAAAUCUCUUUAAAAACCACUCUACGCCACCCCAUCUCAUUCGUGGUAUAUUAAGAUAUUGAUUUAUGCUUUUUCUUUCGAGAUUCAUCUUGUUGCGUGCAAAUACUGGGAAGCUGUUAACUGUCUCCGUUAUAAUAAUAAUAACACAGUAAUAUAAAGCCACAAUCAAGCUUUUUCCAUCAGAGAAAAUCGCACUUGUUCACUCACCUAAUAGUUCUGAUACUAUCCGAGAGUCUGUUUGGAUUCAGACACUCGAAAAUUCCGUGGGCUUUUUUCUUUCUUUCUUUUGGAUUGGCUGUUUUUAUCUGGAAUUAAGAGUAGGAAAAGGAUUGAAAAAGGGCAAAAAAAAAAAAGCAUUUUCCUUUUUUGUAAUUUGGCAAGUAAUAGACAGUGUGAUAGCAAGAGAGAGAUGAGUAAGAGCCUGGAAAAAAUGGCAUCAAUUGAUGUACAGUUGAGGCUAUUGGCACCCGGGAAGGUUUCAGAGGAUGAUAAAUUGGUGGAGUAUGAUGCUCUGUUAUUGGAUCGUUUUCUUGAUAUUCUUCAGGACUUGCAUGGGGAGGAAAUCAGAGAAACGGUACCGAGUUUUUAUUUUUAUUAAAUUUUCGAAUUUUGUUUAUUAUUUAAGUUUUUUAUUGUGGGUUUUGGCUAAUUUUGUGUUUUGAAUGGGAAUCCCACUUGCAAUUUGUUGAAUUAUUUUCUUAAUUUAUUCUGUGAAUAAGGAGUAAGCUUUUUCAGUGGACAUCCAUUUGAAAUAUUUUUAACCUAUUAAUGUUGCUUGUGCAUGGUUUUGUUAUCACCUUAAUGUAACUCCGACACUGUCAUAGGACUUCGUAGCUUUGUAUAACUCCAAUUUCCGCCUGACUGUAUCAUAGGGUUAAUAAUUAUGUUUUAUUGUCGCUAAUAUUUAACUUUGCAUUUUCUUUUGUCAAAUAAACAGCUUUCCGCUGCUAAUUCUUGUUUAGAGCUAUACAUAUUGUUUUAUUAGCUGAUGAUAUUUGGUUCUCUAAUACUUAACGAGUACAAAGCUCAGAACCUUGAAGUUCGCAUAAUGCUAUUAAAAACAUUCUUGAAGUUUUUAUUGAUGUCAAAGAAUGUGCAUCUGUUGGGAAUUUUACUGGUGUCAGUUUUUGUGAAACCUAUUUUGUGACUUUGAUUAUGGACAAGGUUCAAGACUGCUACGAGCUCUCUGCAGAGUAUGAAGGGUCGCGUGAUCCACAGAAACUGGAAGAGCUUGGGAAAGUCCUAACGAGUUUGGAUGCUGGGGAUUCUAUUGUGCUUGCAAAAUCUUUUUCCAACAUGCUUAAUUUAGCCAACUUGGCUGAAGAGGUUCAGAUUGCAUACAGACGUAGAAGUAAGCUAAAAAAGCGUGACUUUUCUGAUGAGGCCUCAGCAACAACUGAAUCGGAUAUUGAAGAGACACUAAAGAGGCUUGUAGGACAACUGAACAAGACUCCUGAAGAAGUUUUUGAUGCUUUGAAGAAUCAGACUGUUGAUUUAGUAUUUACAGCACAUCCUACUCAGUCUGUUCGUAGAUCUUUGCUUCAAAAGCAUGCAAGGUUUGUGAUUAAUGUUGGUUUAAUGAGAAGUAGCUUAUAUGUAUAGUUCAUUGUUUUACCUACAUGACAGGGCAUCGUGUGGCACCCGUACAUUAUUAUUCAUAUCUAGUUAAAUUUUUGGAAAAUUCUUACCUCUUCCAUUUGCAUGUUUCCAGGAUUCGAGAUUGUUUGACUCAGCUAAAUGCCAAAGACAUUACUCCUGACGAUAAGCAGGAGCUUGAUGAGGCGUUGCAAAGAGACGUAUGUUGUUUGUAUAUUAGGUCUGUCACAGCAUGUGUAACUUGUUCUUCUUAAGAGUUUUCUAUUGUGAUCUGAGUCAGAAUAAUGUCUAUUUUCUAAUUAUGCAUACUUGCACGCUGCAUUAUUUUGUUAGCCUAAAAUUAUUCUCCAACCGGAUCCGGAUCCGGAUCCGGAUCUGCUUUACUGUAACAAAUAACACAAAAAAGUGAUUAAUGGUACCCCUGUAGGUUCUAUACAUCAGUAAGUUUAACAUACUGCCAAGUCUGACUUCCAUGUUUGUGCCCCAUCAAAGCUGAGAAAUUUGAUCACCUCCCAUCGAAACAUACAUGCUCACACAUCUAUGUCGCUCCCUCUUAUAACCCAUUCUUAAGUGUAAAGCAUUUGCAUUAACAUAAGCAUUACCAUGCAUUGGUUUUGUGACCUUCCAACUGGUCCAUGAGUUUUAGAAGUGCUAAAAAGUCCAAAUUUCCUAAAAUGCUCCUUAAUGGGGUGUGUAGAUGAGAAUAAAUGAAUCCUCAGUUUAUGGUGUAAUGUCUAAGAAGUGAGCUACUUAGGUCAUCUCAUCACUGAAGUUAUUAAAUAAUUGAAUAACUCAACUUUUGGAGAAUAUCAGUCCCAUUUUUGACUGAUUAUCAUAAUGCAGUCAUCUAGGAAGCAUUGAUACGGACACGAGUGUCAGACUGACGAUGUAUCUUUUAGCGUGUUGGUAAUGCGUUCAAGUACAAAACCAAAAAAAUAAUUUGAACACACCACUUCACAUUUUCAGCAUGUGUCAGUGUUGGACACGAUGUAUCUCUAGUGCGUCGGUAACGCAUCCAAUUAUACGAAACUAAAAAAGGAUUAGGGCAUACCACUUCACAUUUUCAUUAUGUGUCAGCAACGUGUCGGAGUCUGAUAUGACUUGCCGGUGUUGGGAGAGUGUCGGUGCAUCCCAUGACUUGCCGGUGCUCGUAGAGUGCCAGUGAGUCCUAGGGAUUCGUUAAUUAAAACUUGAUACUAACAAAAUCAAUGCCAAUCUCUCCAAACUUCAAUUUCUUCACAUUUAUCUUUUAAUCCUUUGUCCAUGCAUGUAGAUACAAGCUGCUUUUCGCACUGAUGAAAUUAGGAGGAAUCCUCCUACUCCUCAAGAUGAGAUGAGGGCAGGAAUGAGUUACUUCCAUGAAACGAUUUGGAAGGGGGUGCCAAAAUUCUUACGACGCGUUGACACUGCUUUGAAAAACAUUGGAAUAAAUUAGCGUGUUCCCUAUAAUGCUCCUCUUAUCCAAUUCUCUUCUUGGAUGGGUGGGGAUCGUGAUGGUAUUGUUUUCUAAUUUCUUAUUUUGCCGGAGUAAUUAUCACUUUUCUUUAUUUGCAUGAUAUUUUCUUUGAG
rnacentral:lncRNA from 1 species